rnacentral:rRNA from 1 species
UACGUAAGGGGCUAGCGUUGUCCGGAUUUAUUGGGCGUAAAGAGCGUGUAGGCGGCCAGGUAGGUCUGGUGUGAAAACUCGAGGCUUAACCUCGAGAUGUCAUCGGAAACCAUUUGGCUAGAGUCCGGAAGAGGAGAGUGGAAUUCCUGGUGUAGCGGUGAAAUGCGCAGAUAUCAGGAGGAACACCGGUGGCGAAGGCGG